AGAGUUUGAUCAUGGCUCAGAACGUACGCUGGCGGCACGCCUAACACAUGCAAGUCGAACGAAGUAGCAAUACUUAGUGGCAGACGGGUGAGUAACAUGUAGGUAUCUGCCCUUUGGCCUGGAAUAACACGAGGAAACUUGUGCUAAUACCGGAUAAGUCUUUACGGAGAAAGCUUUAUGCACCAUUGGAUGAGCCUGCACUUGAUUAGUUUGUUGGUGGGGUAAUGGCCUACCAAGACUGUGAUCAAUAGCUGAUUUGAGAGGAUGAUCAGCCACAUUGGGACUGAGACACGGCCCAAACUCCUACGGGAGGCAGCAGUGGGGAAUCUUGCACAAUGGAGGAAACUCUGAUGCAGCGAUGCCGCGUGAGUGAAGAAGGCCCUUGGGUUGUAAAGCUCUUUCGUCGGGGAAGAAAAUGACUGUACCCGAAUAAGAAGGUCCGGCUAACUUCGUGCCAGCAGCCGCGGUAAUACGAAGGGACCUAGCGUAGUUCGGAAUUACUGGGCUUAAAGAGUUCGUAGGUGGUUGAAAAAGUUAGUGGUGAAAUCCCAGAGCUUAACUCUGGAACUGCCAUUAAAACUUUUCAGCUAGAGUAUGAUAGAGGAAAGCAGAAUUUCUAGUGUAGAGGUGAAAUUCGUAGAUAUUAGAAAGAAUACCAAUUGCGAAGGCAGCUUUCUGGAUCAUUACUGACACUGAGGAACGAAAGCAUGGGUAGCGAAGAGGAUUAGAUACCCUCGUAGUCCAUGCCGUAAACGAUGUGUGUUAGACGUUGGAAAUUUAUUUUCAGUGUCGCAGGGAAACCGAUAAACACACCGCCUGGGGAGUACGACCGCAAGGUUAAAACUCAAAUGAAUUGACGGGGACCCGCACAAGUAGUGGAGCAUGUGGUUUAAUUCGAAGAUACGCGCAGAACCUUACCAACACUUGACAUGUUCGUCGCGACUCUAAGAGAUUAGAGUUUUCGGUUCGGCCGGACGAAACACAGGUGCUGCAUGGCUGUCGUCAGCUCGUGUCGUGAGAUGUUGGGUUAAGUCCCGCAACGAGCGCAACCCUCACUUUUAGUUGCCAUCAUUAAGUUGGGCACUCUGAAAGAACUGCCAGUGAUAAGCUGGAGGAAGGUGGGGAUGACGUCAAGUCCUCAUGGCCCUUACGUGUUGGGCUACACACGUGCUACAAUGGUAUCUACAACAGGAAGCAAGACUGCGAAGUUAAGCAAAUCCCUAAAAGAUACCUCAGUUCGGAUUGCACUCUGCAACUCGAGUGCAUGAAGCUGGAAUUACUAGUAAUCGUGGAUCAGCGUGCCACGGUGAAUGCGUUCCCGGGUCUUGUACACACCGCCCGUCACACCAUGGGAGUUGGUUCUACCUUAAGGCAAGGUUUCAAACCCUUGACCACGGUAUAGUCAGCGACUGGGGUGAAGUCGUAACAAGGUAGCCGUA
rnacentral:rRNA from 1 species